UGGCGGCGUGCCUAAUACAUGGAAGUCGAACGGAAACCUUCGGGUUUUAGUGGCGAACGGGUGAGUAACACGUAAGCAACCUACCCUAAAGACGAGGAUAACCAUUGGAAACAGUGGCUAAGACUGGAUAGGAAGAAAUAAGGCAUCUUUUUUCUUUUAAAAGACCUAGUGAUAGGUAUACUUUAGGAGGGGCUUGCGCCAUAUUAGUUAGUUGGUAGGGUAAUGGCCUACCAAGACGAUGAUGUGUAGCUGGACUGAGAGGUUGAACAGCCACAUUGGGACUGAGACACGGCCCAAACUCCUACGGGAGGCAGCAGUAGGAAUUUUCGGCAAUGGAGGAAACUCUGACCGAGCAACGCCGCGUGAACGACGAAGUACUUUGGUAUGUAAAGUUCUUUUAUCAAGGAAGAAAAGCAAGUGGUGAACCAUUUGUUUGCCGGUACUUGAUGAAUAAGCCCCGGCUAAUUAUGUGCCAGCAGCCGCGGUAAGACAUAAGGGGCAAGUGUUAUCCGGAAUUAUUGGGCGUAAAGGGUGCGUAGGCGGUCUAGUAAGUCAGUGGUGUAAUGGCAACGCUCAACGUUGUCCGGCUAUUGAAACUGCUAAACUUGAGUUAGAUAGAGGCGAGUGGAAUUCCAUGUGUAGCGGUAAAAUGCGUAAAUAUAUGGAGGAACACCAGAGGCGUAGGCGGCUCGCUGGGUCUUAACUGACGCUGAGGCACGAAAGCGUGGGGAGCAAACAGGAUUAGAUACCCUGGUAGUCCACGCCGUAAACGAUGAGUACUAAGUGUCGGGUUAAACCGGUACUGAAGUUAACACAUUAAGUACUCCGCCUGAGUAGUACGUACGCAAGUAUGAAACUUAAAGGAAUUGACGGGACUCCGCACAAGCGGUGGAUCAUGUUGUUUAAUUCGAAGAUACCCGAAAAACCUUACCAGGUCUUGACAUGUUUUUGCAAAACGCUAGUAAUAUCGUGGAGGUUAUCAGAAACACAGGUGGUGCAUGGUUGUCGUCAGCUCGUGUCGUGAGAUGUUAGGUUAAGUCCUAAAACGAGCGAAACCCUUAUCGUUAGUUGCCAGCACGUUAUGGUGGGGACUUUAACGAGACUGCCAAUGAUAAAUUGGAGGAAGGUGAGGAUCACGUCAAAUCAGCAUGCCCCUUAUGACCUGGGCUACAAACGUGAUACAAUGGCUGUUACAAAGGGUAGCUGAAACGCAAGUUCUUGCCCAAUCCCCAAAAACAGUCUCAGUCCGGAUUGAAGUCUGCAACUCGACUUCAUGAAGUUGGAAUCGCUAGUAAUCGCGAAUCAGCAUGUCGCGGUGAAUACGUUCUCGGGGUUUGUACACACCGCCCGUCAAACCACGAAAGUUGGCAAUACCCCAAAACGGUAGCCUAACUCGUUUAUUCGAGAGGGCGCUGUCUAAGGUAGGGUCGAUGAUUGGGGUUAAGUCGUAACAAGGUAUCCCUACCGGAAGGUGGGGAUGGAUCACCUCCUUUCUAAGGAAACCAAUAAAAUCAAUCAUCUUCAGUUUUGAAAGACUUAGGAUAACUAGUUUUUCUUCCUGACUUCACGAAGGGCCUAUAGCUCAGUUGGUUAGAGCACACGCCUGAUAAGCGUGAGGUCGGUGGUUCAAGUCCAUUUAGGCCCACCAGAGUUAUAGGUGUCGUAAGAACACAAAUUCUUUGAAAAUUAGGUAAAUAAUAGUUAUUUUUCCGGAACAUUAAAGGAAAUAAGAGCGCACAGUGGAUGCCUAGGCACCAAGAGCCG
rnacentral:rRNA from 1 species